rnacentral:lncRNA from 1 species
GGACUGGGGGUGCCAGCAUUCACCAGUCGCUGCACAGAAGAAUGGUUCCAGAUGUUAUUCUGUCAAGCGUUUGUAAUACGAUUAAUGUGUGUUAACAAUGUUAACAUGUUUAUGUGUUUGGGUUAUUGUGCUGCGGCGCAUCUCAUUCCUGAUGACGGUGACGCAUCACGCUGGUGGAGCGGCGGGGUCGAGUGGGACUCUGGUUCAAAUGUUCUGCAGAAUGUUUUAAUGCUUUCAUUUGACAGAGCCCUAAAAUACUGUUUUUCUUUUUCCCUUUAAUUAAACUAAUUUGUUUACAGUUAUCUAGAUAGACAAAUAAUUCUGUUAUUUGUGAGUAUUUCAUAUUUCUAAUGGUUAUCAAUGAGCACUGUUGUUGUUUUCAGUCAGGUUUACAGAGGAGAUAACCUUUGUAUGGGUUUUCGUGACGACUGGGUGACACAUUCCCAAAUAUUAACACGUUUAUCCAACUGGCUCAGCGUCUUGGAUGAUAUCUCCCAUGAACAGAAUAUUGCACAUGCAGUUGUAAAACCUAAGUGUUCCUAACAUAUUUAAAGGCUCAUUUGAAAGGCAAUGAUUUCAGAUGACAAGAACGAGAAAAAAAAAAAAAAAAAAACGUAAAUUUUUUCGAUCUGAUCUAAAAUAUGUUUUUUCAGUAAGAUUAUUUCCUUUGCUUCUCAGACUCUUGGACUCAGAUGGUCUUGUGUUUUGUUUAUGGUUUGAAGACCAGUCUAACCAGUACUAAUAUAAUGUCAGUGCUUCACACAACCUGCAGAUAGAGUCUGGGUCGCAUGCCCUGUAAAAUAAUUGAACCCUUGGUGAGUUUGUCUGUAGUCCAACUUAUGUUUAUGUUUAUGUAUUUAGCAGACGCUUAUGUCCAAAGCGACUCACAAGCGACUGACAAGUGACCACUUACACACACAUUUGCUGUAUGAGUUAGUGUGUUGAUUCAUGUCGCAUGGGGGCGGUUUGGCCAACCAGCUUCUGCACAGUAAAAAGAAAACUCGAGCACUAUAAUCUCAAUGUUUGUAUAGCUAACGUGUCCCUGAUUAUGGGAUGUUUUGAACUAAAUCCUGACUGUAUUUCACCAUUAGUUACACUUUGGGCUUUUGUCGGUCUAAUUUGUUCGUGUUUGCUGAUAAAAGGGCACAUUUUUCACUCGGCAGCAGUGGUGCAUGAGUUUAGUGUUGGCUUCCACACCGACUGUAAACUUCUGUUUAUCUACAGACUAGCAAAAUCCAAAAGUCCUUUAGAAAUGUAUGUUAGAAUGAAAUUGGCAGAAAAAUCAACAGUUUUGUACAUUGUAAUAAAGUACAUUCAAAUAUAAUUAAACAAAAUAAAAUGGGAAAAUCAUCCUAACAUGGAAAUAAAUCCUUGUCCACAAAUUGACAUUUUAAGCAGGUGAAUGUGCAUCCUCAUUUAAAAACAUGGAAACAUCUACGGUCUGAUAGACUUGUGUGCUAGGCUUGUGUCUCAGCAGGACGUGACUUCGGGUCACUAAAAUUGGAGACAAGUUGUAAAGAAAUACACAAAUCAGUUGGAGUUGGGGUCCCUUUUGCACAUUCUAAAACAGCAAAAAAAUGAAUUAAGUCUGUGUGCAUCUAGAUAAAAGGAGUCAGAAUGGACUACACUUGAGUCAGAGGGAGCUCGGUUAUCUUUGAUGUUGCAAGUUUGGUAUGAGGACAAGAACAAGGACAUGAAGCCUGACAAGGAAUGAUACUGUGGCUGUUGCAGAUGGAAUGAGACUCGAGGUGAUGACAGACCGAAGAGAAUAAAUAAUUCCAGCAUCAUUGGUUGCUCU